GCACUGCUGAAGAGCCCCACAACAGGACGAAACGGCCGUCCAGUUC
rnacentral:hammerhead_ribozyme from 1 species